GGUUAAGUUAGAAAGGGCGCACGGUGGAUGCCUUGACACUAGGAGUCGAUGAAGGACGGGACUAACGCCGAUAUGCUUCGGGGAGCUGUAAGUAAGCUUUGAUCCGAAGAUUUCCGAAUGGGGAAACCCACCAUACGUAAUGGUAUGGUAUCCUUAUCUGAAUACAUAGGGUAAGGAAGACAGACCCAGGGAACUGAAACAUCUAAGUACCUGGAGGAAGAGAAAGCAAAUGCGAUUUCCUGAGUAGCGGCGAGCGAAACGGAACAUAGCCCAAACCAAGAGGCUUGCCUCUUGGGGUUGUAGGACAUUCUAUACGGAGUUACAAAGGAACGAGGUAGACGAAGCGACCUGGAAAGGUCCGUCGUAGAGGGUAACAACCCCGUAGUCGAAACUUCGUUCUCUCUUGAAUGUAUCCUGAGUACGGCGGAACACGUGAAAUUCCGUCGGAAUCUGGGAGGACCAUCUCCCAAGGCUAAAUACUCCCUAGUGAUCGAUAGUGAACCAGUACCGUGAGGGAAAGGUGAAAAGCACCCCGGAAGGGGAGUGAAAGAGAUCCUGAAACCGUGUGCCUACAAAUAGUCAGAGCCCGUUAACGGGUGAUGGCGUGCCUUUUGUAGAAUGAACCGGCGAGUUACGAUCCCGUGCGAGGUUAAGCUGAAGAGGCGGAGCCGCAGCGAAAGCGAGUCUGAAUAGGGCGUUUAGUACGUGGUCGUAGACCCGAAACCAGGUGAUCUACCCAUGUCCAGGGUGAAGUUCAGGUAACACUGAAUGGAGGCCCGAACCCACGCACGUUGAAAAGUGCGGGGAUGAGGUGUGGGUAGCGGAGAAAUUCCAAUCGAACCUGGAGAUAGCUGGUUCUCCCCGAAAUAGCUUUAGGGCUAGCCUUAAGUGUAAGAGUCUUGGAGGUAGAGCACUGAUUGGACUAGGGGUCCUCAUCGGAUUACCGAAUUCAGUCAAACUCCGAAUGCCAAUGACUUAUCCUUAGGAGUCAGACUGCGAGUGAUAAGAUCCGUAGUCAAAAGGGAAACAGCCCAGACCGCCAGCUAAGGUCCCAAAGUGUGUAUUAAGUGGAAAAGGAUGUGGAGUUGCUUAGACAACUAGGAUGUUGGCUUAGAAGCAGCCACCAUUUAAAGAGUGCGUAAUAGCUCACUAGUCGAGUGACUCUGCGCCGAAAAUGUACCGGGGCUAAAUACACCACCGAAGCUGCGGAUUGAUACCAAUGGUAUCAGUGGUAGGGGAGCGUUCUAAGGACAGUGAAGUCAGACCGGAAGGACUGGUGGAGUGCUUAGAAGUGAGAAUGCCGGUAUGAGUAGCGAAAGACGGGUGAGAAUCCCGUCCACCGAAUGCCUAAGGUUUCCUGAGGAAGGCUCGUCCGCUCAGGGUUAGUCAGGACCUAAGCCGAGGCCGACAGGCGUAGGCGAUGGACAACAGGUUGAUAUUCCUGUACCACCUCUUUAUCGUUUGAGCAAUGGAGGGACGCAGAAGGAUAGAAGAAGCGUGCGAUUGGUUGUGCACGUCCAAGCAGUUAGGCUGAUAAGUAGGCAAAUCCGCUUAUCGUGAAAGGCUGAGCUGUGAUGGGGAAGCUCCUUAUGGAGCGAAGUCUUUGAUUCCCCGCUGCCAAGAAAAGCUUCUAGCGAGAUAAAAGGUGCCUGUACCGCAAACCGACACAGGUAGGCGAGGAGAGAAUCCUAAGGUGUGCGAGAGAACUCUGGUUAAGGAACUCGGCAAAAUGACCCCGUAACUUCGGGAGAAGGGGUGCUUUCUUAACGGAAAGCCGCAGUGAAUAGGCCCAAGCGACUGUUUAGCAAAAACACAGCUCUCUGCGAAGCCGUAAGGCGAAGUAUAGGGGGUGACACCUGCCCGGUGCUGGAAGGUUAAGGAGAGGGGUUAGCGUAAGCGAAGCUCUGAACUGAAGCCCCAGUAAACGGCGGCCGUAACUAUAACGGUCCUAAGGUAGCGAAAUUCCUUGUCGGGUAAGUUCCGACCCGCACGAAAGGUGUAACGAUUUGGGCACUGUCUCAACCAGAGACUCGGUGAAAUUAUAGUACCUGUGAAGAUGCAGGUUACCCGCGACAGGACGGAAAGACCCCGUGGAGCUUUACUGUAGCCUGAUAUUGAAUUUUGGUACAGUUUGUACAGGAUAGGCGGGAGCCAUUGAAACCGGAGCGCUAGCUUCGGUGGAGGCGCUGGUGGGAUACCGCCCUGACUGUAUUGAAAUUCUAACCUACGGGUCUUAUCGACCCGGGAGACAGUGUCAGGUGGGCAGUUUGACUGGGGCGGUCGCCUCCUAAAGUGUAACGGAGGCGCCCAAAGGUUCCCUCAGAAUGGUUGGAAAUCAUUCGUAGAGUGCAAAGGCAUAAGGGAGCUUGACUGCGAGACCUACAAGUCGAGCAGGGACGAAAGUCGGGCUUAGUGAUCCGGUGGUUCCGCAUGGAAGGGCCAUCGCUCAACGGAUAAAAGCUACCCCGGGGAUAACAGGCUUAUCUCCCCCAAGAGUCCACAUCGACGGGGAGGUUUGGCACCUCGAUGUCGGCUCAUCGCAUCCUGGGGCUGUAGUCGGUCCCAAGGGUUGGGCUGUUCGCCCAUUAAAGCGGUACGCGAGCUGGGUUCAGAACGUCGUGAGACAGUUCGGUCCCUAUCCGUCGUGGGCGUAGGAAAUUUGAGAGGAGCUGUCCUUAGUACGAGAGGACCGGGAUGGACGCACCGCUGGUGUACCAGUUGUUCUGCCAAGGGCAUAGCUGGGUAGCUAUGUGCGGAAGGGAUAAGUGCUGAAAGCAUCUAAGCAUGAAGCCCCCCUCAAGAUGAGAUUUCCCAUAGCGUAAGCUAGUAAGAUCCCUGAAAGAUGAUCAGGUUGAUAGGUUCGAGGUGGAAGCAUGGUGACAUGUGGAGCUGACGAAUACUAAUAGAUCGAGGACUUAACCAU
rnacentral:rRNA from 1 species